GGUUGAUCCUGCCGGACCCGAUCGCUAUCGGGAUAGGGCUAAGCCAUGGGAGUCAUACGUACCCGGCAAGGGUGCGUGGCGGACGGCUGCGUAACACGUGGCUAACCUGCCCUCUGGACUAGGAUACCCCCGGGAAACUGGGGAUAAUCCUGGGUAGGUGGAGAGUACUGGAAUGGCGCCAGAGGAUGGGGCUGCGGCCCAUCAGGUAGUUGGGGGGGUAAAGGCCCUCCAAGCCUAUAACGGGUAGGGGCCGUGGAAGCGGGAGCCCCCAGAUGGGUACUGAGACAAGGACCCAGGCCCUACGGGGCGCACCAGGCGCGGAACGUCCACAAUGCGCGAAAGCGUGAUGGCGCUAUCCCGAGUGCCACCAGUUGGUGGCUUUUCCCUACUCUAGAAAGGUAGGGGAAUAAGCGGGGGGCAAGACUGGUGUCAGCCGCCGCGGUAAUACCAGCUCCGCGAGUGAUCGGGACGCUUAUUGGGCCUAAAGCGCCCGUAGCCGGUUCUGCAAGUCCGCGUUUAAAGACCCGGGCUCAACCCGGGGAACGGCGUGGAUACUGCAGAACUAGGGGGCGGGAGAGGCCGGGGGUACUUCAGGAGUAGGGGCGAAAUCCUCAGAUACCUGAAGGACCACCAGUGGCGAAGGCGCCCGGCUAGAACGCGCCCGACGGUGAGGGGCGAAAGUUGGGGCAGCAAAGCGGAUUAGAUACCCGCGUAGUCCCAACUGUAAACGAUGCGGGCUAGAUGUUGACCGGGCUUCGAGCCCGGUCAGUGUCGCAGGGAAGCCGUUAAGCCCGCCGC
rnacentral:rRNA from 1 species